rnacentral:tRNA from 1 species
GAGGGUAUAGCUCAGUGGUAGAGUGUGUGCUUAGCAUGCAAGAGGUCCUGGGUUCAAUCCCUAUCCCCA